rnacentral:rRNA from 1 species
AUUGAACGCUGGCGGCAUGCCUUACACAUGCAAGUCGAACGGCAGCACGGGUGCUUGCACCUGGUGGCGAGUGGCGAACGGGUGAGUAAUACAUCGGAACGUCCCUUAUCGUGGGGGAUAACGCAGCGAAAGCUGUGCUAAUACCGCAUACGCCCUGAGGGGGAAAGCGGGGGAGCGAAAGACCUCGCGCGAUUAGAGCGGCCGAUGCCUGAUUAGCUUGUUGGUGGGGUAAAAGCCCACCAAGGCGACGAUCAGUAGCUGGUCUGAGAGGACGAUCAGCCACACUGGAACUGAGACACGGCCCAGACUCCUACGGGAGGCAGCAGUGGGGAAUUUUGGACAAUGGGGGCAACCCUGAUCCAGCAAUGCCGCGUGAGUGAAGAAGGCCUUCGGGUUGUAAAGCUCUUUUGUCAGGGAAGAAACACCGGCUCUAACACAGUCCGGGAAUGACGGUACCUGAAGAAUAAGCACCGGCUAACUACGUGCCAGCAGCCGCCGUAA